rnacentral:rRNA from 1 species
UUUUCCUACGGGGGGCAGCAGCGAGGAAUAUUGGUCAAUGGCCGAGAGGCUGAACCAGCCAAGUCGCGUGAGGGAAGAAUGUCCUAUGGAUUGUAAACCUCUUUUGUCAGGGAGCAAAGUCACCCACGUGUGGGUGUUGGAGAGUACCUGAAGAAAAAGCAUCGGCUAACUCCGUGCCAGCAGCCGCGGUAAUACGUAGGGGGCAAGCGUUAUCCGGAUUUACUGGGUGUAAAGGGAGCGUAGGUGGCAUGGUAAGCCAGAAGUGAAAACCCAGGGCUAAACUCUGU